UACUGGGCGUAAGCGCGCGUAGGUGGUUAAUUAAGUCAAAUGUGAAAUCCCCGAGCUUAACUUGGGAAUUGCAUUCGAUACUGGUUAGCUAGAGUAUGGGAGAGGAUGGUAGAAUUCCAGGUGUAGCGGUGAAAUGCGUAGAGAUCUGGAGGAAUACCGAUGGCGAAGGCAGCCAUCUGGCCUAAUACUGACACUGAGGUGCGAAAGCAUGGGGAGCAAACAGGAUUAGAUACCCUGGUAGUCCAUGCCGUAAACGAUGUCUACUAGCCGUUGGGGGAUUUGAUCCUUUAGUGGCGCAGCUAACGCGAUAAGUAGACCGCCUGGGGAGUACGGUCGCAAGACUAAAACUCAAAUGAAUUGACGGGGGCCCGCACAAGCGGUGGAGCAUGUGGUUUAAUUCGAUGCAACGCGAAGAACCUUACCUGGCCUUGACAUAGUAGAGACUUUCCAGAGAUGGAUUGGUGCCUUCGGGAAUCUACAUACAGGUGCUGCAUGGCUGUCGUCAGCUCGUGUCGUGAGAUGUUGGGUUAAGUCCCGCAACGAGCGCAACCCUUUUCCUUACUUGCCAGCAUUUCGGAUGGGAACUUUAAGGAUACUGCCAGUGACAAACUGGAGGAAGGCGGGGACGACGUCAAGUCAUCAUGGCCCUUACGGCCAGGGCUACACACGUGCUACAAUGGUCGGUACAAAGGGUUGCUACACAGCGAUGUGAUGCUAAUCUCAAAAAGCCGAUCGUAGUCCGGAUCGCAGUCUGCAACUCGACUGCGUGAAGUCGGAAUCGCUAGUAAUCGCGGAUCAGAAUGCCGCGGUGAAUACGUUCCCGGGCCUUGUACACACCGCCCGUCACACCAUGGGAGUUUGUUGCACCAGAAGUAGGUAGUCUAACCGCAAGGAGGACGCU
rnacentral:rRNA from 2 species